GACGAACGCUGGCGGCGUGCUUAACACAUGCCAGUCGAACGGAAAGGCCCUGCUUGCAGGGUACUCGAGUGGCGAACGGGUGAGUAACACGUGGGUGAUCUGCCCUGCACUUCGGGAUAAGCCUGGGAAACUGGGUCUAAUACCGGAUAGGAGCCAUCUUUAGUGUGGUGGUUGGAAAGUUUUUUCGGUGUAGGAUGAGCUCGCGGCCUAUCAGCUUGUUGGUGGGGUAAUGGCCUACCAAGGCGGCGAGGGGUAGCCGGCCUGAGAGGGUGAACGGCCACAUUGAGACGGAGAACCGGCCCAGCCACCUACGGGGGGAGGCAGGGGGGAAGAUUGAACAAGGGGCGCAGGCUGAAUGCAGGGAGGCGGGUUGGGGGAGGACGGCCUUGGGGUGGAAAAUCCCUUUCGCAAGGGACGAAGCUUUUUGUGACGGUACCUAGAUAAGAAGCACCGGCUAACUACGUG
rnacentral:rRNA from 1 species